AAAUACAUUUUCAGAUUUUCGAUGUUAAAUAUUGACUACACGGAAAGUUUUUGUUUACACAUGUGCACCACCAUUAAAAA